rnacentral:rRNA from 1 species
GGGUCAGUAGGUUGGUCGUGCCACCGGUACGUACUGGUCUCACUGAUUCCUCCUUCCUGAAGAACCGUAAUGCCAUUAAUUUGGUGUUGCGGGGAAACAGGACUGUUACUUUGAAAAAAUAGAGUGUUUAAGGCAAGCUAACGCUUGAAUACAUUAGCAUGGAAUAAUGAAAUAGGACGAUCGAUCCUAUUUUGUUGGUUUCUAGGAUUGACGUA